rnacentral:lncRNA from 1 species
CAUGAUAGGUGAUAUUUUUGUAUAUAAUACAAAAAUAGGCCCAAUAUUUUUGUAUAUGACAAAAAACAAAAAUUAUGCAUCGUAUUGAGAUUGAAAUCACAAAAUCAAGAUUUGUUAACUACAAUUGAAAAUGAAAAAAUGAGGAAAUAUGAAUUCAUAGCAAAUGCAUUGAGCAUGAUGUAUAAGUGCCAAGUAAAGAUAAUUAAUUCCCUAUGUGAUGACUUGGGAUGGUAUUGCAAAAACUUACCACAAAAAUCAUAUCCAAGCUAUGGAUUUGCUCCUAAACAUAGAAACAUACAUCCAGAGUCUUAUCCUUAAGAAAAUUUUAGAAAACAUCAUCUUUGAAAAGAGAGAAGGAUUUGUCCAAGAGGAUGUGGAAGAUGAUGUUGAAAAGGUAUUGAAAUGGCUAGAGAUAAUUAAAGUGAAUGAGUGCUAAGAGAGUGUUGUAAAAGUGAAACAACAGGACCCUAUAAUUAAAUUAUUAAUUAAACAACAAAAG